UAUCAAUAACCUUUUUCUCAUUGUUGGUCAUUGGUGGAUCAUCAACAAUAUUCAUUUGAUGAUUAACAAAGUUUGUUUAUACCUCUAUUACUUUAUUCUUUUGAGACUCCUGGAAUAAAUUAACCAGAUGCCUCGGCGUACGACAGGUACGCGACCAAUGCCUUUCAUCCCACACCUAAAACAAACAUCUGGUUUGUUCUUAUAUCUGUGUUGCAUUUUCUUUAUUUUUACCCAACUCAGACACUUGCCACUUCUGGUGGCUUAAAUUGUCGCGGUUCUAGAAUUUGUUGUUAUGAUGGCCUCGUUUAUUCUUUCGCCCCCAAGGCUUCUUAUUAUAUGGCCAUCUAUAGUCACGUUUAUUCUGCUGGAAUGACGUGCUAUUAAUAUCCGGCAAUGGGGUAACACCCGUUGGCCGUACUUGAUGGUUUUUCAACAACAAUUCAUUAUUCUUUUCUGCAACAAGGAGGAUAAGCAAUAAGUCACUGAAUUUUGUGAACUUACUCUGUCUAUAUUAUUGUGACAGAAUCAUGUUGGUGGGAUGAAAAGUUGAGAGUGUUUUUU
rnacentral:lncRNA from 1 species